UGGGGAUGACGUCAAGUCAUCAUGGCCCUUACGGCCUGGGCUACACACGUGCUACAAUGGUCGGUACAAAGGGUUGCCAAGCCGCGAGGUGGAGCUAAUCCCACUAAAACCGAAUCGUAGUCCGGAUCGCAGUCUGCAACUCGACUGCGUGAAGUCGGAAUCGCUAGUAAUCGUGAAAUCAGAAUGUCACGGUGAAUACGUUCCCGGGCCUU
rnacentral:rRNA from 1 species